GAUGAUUUUGUUAAGGAUGAUGGUAAAUUCCAUAAUGAUGAUGAUGCAAAUCUUUGCUUUGAAAGGGUGAUUGGUCAGAGAUCUUUCGGAUAUUCCAUGUUGCUGCCAACCAAAUUUGUGAAGGCUGCAGGACUAGAACA